rnacentral:rRNA from 1 species
ACUGUUCUUUCUGAACAAGGGCUCGUUCAUAGAUGCCCCUAGAAGUGUGGCCGCCCACAAGGCCACGAGGAGCGACGAGAAGCUCUAAGAAGAGGUCAGCCCCAGAGCUCUCCUCGGGAGGCCAAUACCCUCUUGAGUUGAUGGCAGCUCCCUGGCUGACGGGUGCCGCCACCGAACCCCCACGCACACGCUGGGCAGCUUGGAAAUCCUCCUGCUGCUGGUCGAGGUCAUUCGAGACCUCCCGGGGCUCAACAAUGGCACCCUCCUCUUCCUCUUCUUCCUUCUUCUCCUCCUCUUCAUCCGAGGAGCCGAAGAGACUCUGAUAGGAGCGUCGAGUCUCCUUCUCCUCGCGGAGUGGAGACUUAGAGGCGGUACGCUUCUUUGAGGGCUUGGCGCCUUCGGCUUUAGAGGCCUUAGCGCGCGCAAGACCCUCGGCAAGCGGCAAGCGACGUUUGCGAGGACUCCCUUCCUCAUCGCCACCGGCUUUGGAUGUGCCCUUAGCCUUAACGGCCGGACUCUCAGAGCGCACACAGGUCCUGGGACUGUGAUCACCGUGAUCACUAGCGGACGACUGCACGCUGUCUUCUUUGUGCUCACUGGGCACUGGGCUGUGCCCUCCCACAGAGCCCGCAGGAGCAUCAUGAGUGCUCUCGAACUCGGCAUCGUCCUCACUGCCCGAGUUGAACUCAUGUUCUACGAACCGAGGGUUCGGACGAUUGUCUGAAGACGAGGGCGACGGACUGCGGCGCCUGCUUGCGCGCUUGUCCGCAGCCGCGUCACCCGAGGAUCCGAUCGCCUCGGAGGCCACCUGAGUAGCCUCCUUGAGUGCAGAGCCUUUGCCGUGAGGCUUAGUGCUCUUGGCCUGCGCCUUACCGGCUGCAGCCUUGGAGCGUGUCUUAGCACCGCUCUUAGCAGUGCCACGAGGCAUGUUAACGGUCGAAGUGGAGACCUUGACGAAGAGCGCACAGGUUGCUGCUCGAGGCUCUAACUGUAAAGUGAGCCUCCGCCGCGCUCGCGCGGCCGAGUCGAUGGUUUUCGACUUUGAGAAUGAGAGUUUGUGACGAACAUCUCUUCAUUCUGAUUGGUCGGUAAACCGAACCUAAGUGGGGGAGGAUGUAACGGGGUACGUAGCACUAAGUGUACCCUGGUUACAUGAAGUGUGACACUUCACACUUCAGGAGUAUGACAUGUCAUACUCCGGGAUAUUUGGUACAAGGUACCAAGGUCAUUCAAAACCAACCAUUGGUUAAAUGACAUUGCAUUACUAUAGGUAACUGAUAGUUUGUAUUAACCACAAACUUAACCUACCUAUAAAUAUACUCAGUUUACAAUCUACCUUAUUUAGGUCACUUUGCUCUCUUUAAUUAAAGAGGGGACCUGUGAACUGCCGUUCACUGAGAGUUUGUAUACUCUCGGAAGAUAACUUCCUCUAGCGCAAGGUUGUAACGGGGUACAAUCCAGUGUGCCCCAUGUUACAUAAAGAGUGACCCGUCACUCUUGUGGACACCUGGUACACGGUACCAGGUGCUCUCGGAACCAGUCAGUGCAUGACUACUUAGCUUCACUAUAGGUAACCUCUAGUUUGUAUGAGACCCAAGCUUAUCUUACUUAUAAAUACAUCAGUCUUAAAUCUACUCCUCUAAGUAGCAAACCGUUCCCACUGAGGCCGGGAACACGUGGACUUACGUUCACUCGGGUAGUUAAUACCCUUAAGCACUUCCUCUGUGCAAGGUGCUGUGUGACCCCGUCACACUUGGUAGCACUAGUAGUCAAUCCAACACCAUCGCGGUUUAUUACAAUCCUUAUCUACCUAAGACCUGCUAUCAAUUACUUACAGGAUUUGCGUCUCCGUGGCGUACCUUGUGCACGCUUGCUUCACAUCAACUACCGGCUGCGGCCCUAUGGCCCAGUCGGUUUUGCGGCCACGAAUUCGUACUUAAGCGAAUCGGAAUUUUCCGACGCGCCGGGGUUUGAACCCGCAACCUCCCGAUCAGAAGCCCAGUGUUUAACCACUGCACCACCUGACCGGUUGGGGAGUUUGGCUGGGGCGGCACAUCUGUUAAAUGAUAACACAGGUGUCCUAAGGUGAGCUCAAUGAGAACAGAAAUCUCAUGUAGAACAAAAGGGUAAAAGCUCACUUGAUUUUGAUUUUCAGUAUGAAUACAAACCGUGAAAGCGUGGCCUAUCGAUCCUUUAGUUCUUUUGAAUUUUAAGCUAGAGGUGUCAGAAAAGUUACCACAGGGAUAACUGGCUUGUGGCAGCCAAGCGUCCAUAGCGACGUUGCUUUUUGAUUCUUCGAUGUCGGCUCUUCCUAUCAUUGCGAAGUAGAACUCGCCAAUUGUUGGAUUGUUCACCCACUAAUAGGGAACGUGAGCUGGGUUUAGACCGUCGUGAGACAGGUUAGUUUUACCCUACUGAUGAGUUCGUUGUCUAAACAGUAAUCCAACCCAGUACGAGAGGAACCGUUGGUUCAGAUAAUUGGUAACUGCGGUUAGCUGAAAAGCUAGUGCCGCCAAGCUACCAUCUGUAGGAUUAUGGCUGAACGCCUCUAAGUCAGAAUCCAUGCUGGAAUAGACGAUAAUCACCUUUCCCGAUGUGCCGCGAAUAGCGAUAGGUGUCUUCUGGACACCCAACAUCAUACAAUUGCAACGCACUCCGCUGCCUGUCAAGUACUGGCGGUGGAGAGUAGGCUGAUUUGUAAUUUCAAAUAUUGGGAAAGAUAAAUCC